UACGGAGGGGGCAAGCGUUGUUCGGAUUCAUUGGGCGUAAAGGGUGCGUAGGCGGCGCGGUAAGUCGGGUGUGAAAUCUCGGGGCUUAACUCCGAAACUGCAUUCGAUACUGCCGUGCUUGAGGACUGGAGAGGAGACUGGAAUUUACGGUGUAGCGGUGAAAUGCGUAGAUAUCGUAAGGAAGACCAGUGGCGAAGGCGGGUCUCUGGACAGUUCCUGACGCUGAGGCACGAAGGCCAGGGGAGCAAACGGG
rnacentral:rRNA from 1 species